rnacentral:rRNA from 1 species
AGAACGAACGCUGGCGGCAGGCCUCAAACAUGCAAGUCUAGGGGGUGUAGCAAUACAUCACCGGCGGACGGGUGCGUAACACGUGGGAAUGUACCUAUUGGUUCGGAACAACGCAGGGAAACUUGCGCUAAUACCGAAUGUGCCCGAAAGGGGAAAGAUUUAUCGCCAAUAGAUCAGCCCGCGUAGGAUUAGCUAGUUGGUGAGGUAAUGGCUCACCAAGGCUCCGAUCCUUAGCUGUUCUGAGAGGAAGAUCAGCCACACUGGGACUGAGACACGGCCCAGACUCCUACGGGAGGCAGCAGUUGGGAAUCUUGGACAAUGGGCGAAAGCCCUGAUCCAGCCAUGCCGCGUGAGUGAUGAAGGCCUUCGGGUUGUAAAACUCUUUCGACGGGGACGAUAAUGACGGUACCGUAGAAGAAGCGUCCGGCUAACUUCGCGCCAGCAGCCGC